CCCGGGUUCCGUUGUUACACACCCGCCCGUCCACACCAUGGGAGGCGGGUUUCACCAGAAGUAGCUAGCCUAACCGCAAGGGGGGCGGUUACCACGGUGAGAUUCGUGACUGGGGGUG
rnacentral:rRNA from 1 species